rnacentral:misc_RNA from 1 species
GAUGAAGAACGCAGUGAAAUGCGAUACGUAAUGUGAAUUGCAGAAUUCAGUGAAUCAUCGAAUCUUUGAACGCAAAUUGCGCUCUCUGGUAUUCCGGAGAGCAUGCUUGUUUGAGUAUCAGUAAACACCUCAACUUCCAUAUCUUUUUUGAAAUGGGAGUUGGACUUGAGUGAUCCCAACGCUUUUCCUCACCGAAAAGUGGCGGGUUACUUGAAAUGCAGGUGCAGCUGGACUUUUCUCUGAGCUAUAAGCAUAUCUAUUUAGUCUGCCUAAAAAACAGAUUAUUACCUUUGCUGCAGCUAACAUAAAGGAGAUUAGUUCUUGUGCUGACUGAUGCAGGAUUCACAAAGACAGCUUCGGCCGACUUUGUAAACUCGAUCUCAAAUCAAGUAAGACUACCCGCUGAACUUAAGCAUAUCAAUAAGCGGAGGA